AACAUCUUCUUACCAAAAAGUACAAAGGUAAGGAGAUACGUUCUGCGCAUGCGCAUCCCUAUCUCCUUAAAUACGCAUAAUUUGUUAAAAGGAUAUUAAGCAAAGUUGUAGCCCUCAUCCAGACGAACAACUUUGGUUAACAUCUUCUUACCAAAAAGUGCAAAGGUAAGGAGAUACGUUCUGCGCAUGCGCAGCCCUAUCUCCUUAAAUACGCAUAAUUUGUUAAAAGGAUAUU
rnacentral:miRNA from 1 species